AGGGGAUAGGAGGAGGAAAAGGAUUUAGCUAACAAGACAGGAAAUCAUUAGAGUGAUAGGAUAUCUAGCAGAGUGUGAAAAUUAAUGGAGAAGAAAAUAUCAUGAAAGAGAAAAAGAUAGAGAAGAGUGGCAAGUACUUCAGAGAAACAAGGGAGGGUAAGGAUGGAGAAGAGACCAUUGGUGUGUUGGAGAGGGAGUUUUUCAGUACAAUAGGGAACAGAAAUCAAGUUUCAAAGGACUGAGGACAGAGCAGGGAGGUGAGGAAGUAGAAGAGAAGAUAAGGAUUGCCAGGAAAAUGAAACCAAGGACUCAUCAAAUGUGGUUCUUUAUCAAAUUGCUUUGACAGUAUAGAGCCAAGAUGAAGGGCCAGAUCAUUUGCAUCCUACAGAACUGAAAGAAUAUGCAAUUUCAUCAUUAAUAAUAAUUUGGAGAUCAUGAAACUUGAGAGAAUUGCCUGAAACCAAAGGUGAACAAAUGACAUUCUAAUUUACAAAAAGGGUAAUAAAAUUUAAGCUGAA